UACGGAGGAUCCAAGCGUUAUCCGGAAUCAUUGGGUUUAAAGGGUCCGUAGGCGGGUUAAUAAGUCAGUGGUGAAAGUCUGCAGCUCAGCUGUAGAACUGCCAUUGAUACAGUAGACCUUGAAUUAUUAUGAAGUGGUUAGAAUAUGUAGUGUAGCGGUGAAAUGCAUAGAUAUUACAUAGAAUACCGAUUGCGAAGGCAGAUCACUAAUAAUAUAUUGACGCUGAUGGACGAAAGCGUGGGGAGCAAACAGG
rnacentral:misc_RNA from 1 species